UUACCAUAACAUUAACGGUACAGCUAGCGGGAAGUUCAACUAACGAGUUACGAUAUCCUCAUCAAAUCAUCCGAAGUCAUUGAGAUAUAGGCCUAUAGUUUUCCCCAAGAGAAGCGAUUGAUUAUAUGUGAUUAAUGUCUUCCAGUACUACAGUAGAUUCUAAUGAUAUUCCCGUGAACCGAUCGCGAGCAAGCAAGAAACCAGCCAGAUACAGCGAUGAUAAAUUGAAGAAUAUGCACUCGUCAUGUUCACAGUCACACUGGAUAAGGUGAAGAGCUAGUGUAGAGCCUAGAGGUUGGUUUUGAGCAUCAAAAUUUGGACGGUGGCCGGAGGAUGAGGAUCGAUGGAUGGGAGGCCUACGAUGAGGCUAACAAGAAGUGGUAGCUUGGCCUAAGCUUGAAAUGACCCAAUAUGCACUCUUCGUGUUCAGUCACACUGGAUAAUGUGAAGAGGGUGGUUUUGAGCAGCGAGGUUCGGCAGGUGGCAGGAGGAUGAAGAUCGAUGGAUAGGAGGCGUACGAUGAGGCUACAAAGAAGUGGUACUCUGUUGCCUUGCUUGAAAGGACCCCAAUUCUUUGCGAGAAGAUCGAAGGGGGCCGGACACAAAUCAGCUGAAUUGGCAGGCCCUGAGAGUAAAGAUGGAGGGAAUCAAAUAUAAGGCUAAAAA